ensembl:lncRNA
GCGGACCAUUCCAAGGCAUGCAACCAAGAGCUAAGCUGGUGUCCUCUGGCAUCUGGUACAAGAGGGACUCAAAAAGCUCACACCUGGAUGAGACACGACCUUUCUGCUCUCAUUGGGAGGACUUAAUUUCAGGUCAUACCAGGCUUCCGAAGAUGCUGGAAAAUGUCAUUUCUGGCCUAUGCACAUAGUCUCAACACUGUCGUAGAGAAGAGAGAAAACUCGCUUGGUCCACAAUGCUUCCAGUACAGGCUUGAAACCUGAAGUUUGGAACCAGCUGACACUGGAGCUCCAGAAAGGAAUUGCUUCUGCUUUGAGUCCUACCACGAUAGAAUCAAUUUCCUCUGUGCUGCGUUCCAGAGGAAGGUAUAUACUGGAAUGACCCAAAGUUUGUGAAACAUCUCUUAGAGAGUCUGGCCUUUGUCACCAUAACUAGAUGACUGGCCACUGCUCAAAUACAGUAUCAAAUGUGUUUAAUUGAAUUCAGUAUCAAAUGUAUUCUACUGGGGAAUAGCCAAAGGAUGCCCACGUGGAUGCAAGAGAGAAGUUCAGACUCAUUUAUGUACCACUCGCCUGUAAACCCCCAAAUCCACAUCCAAAAUCAAGAAGGUAAAUUUACCUCCUUUCCACACAGUUCUCUAGUUGAAUGUUGCAUCUUCGUUUGUUUGGUCUUAUUUUACCUUUACACACUAAAAUUGACUCUAUUUUGAACCAGUUUUGCCUUUUCCUGAGAUUAGGUUGAAAGAAGAAAGCAUAUAUUAAUUUCCUUUUUCUUGAACCCUGUGAGAGUUGAUCCUUUCCAUGCCUGAGCCUAAAUACUUUUCACCUGUUUUCUUUUCUAAGUUUAGGACAGGGGUGAGCAUGGAGAAAGUUAGGACCUGCAACUUUUUUUCUCCUUCUGCCCCAAAGUCUAUACACACAUUCACGAGUUUGGUUCAGAGAUCUUAUAUCAGAUGAUUCACUGGUUCAGAGAUCUUAGAACACACAGAAUAGGUAAGAAAGAACACAGAGUUUAGGUGCUGUUAAGAGUCCAGCUGCACGGU